CCCGAAAGAUCGAACGGGGAGAUUCAUCGUCAGCGACGUCGGCUUCGCCGUGACUCGUGAUGUCGGGGACCCCGCGUCCACGGCACAUGGUCCCGUUGCGUUAUGCCCGGCGGCGUCGGCGUGCACUUCUCCCCUAGUAGGACGUCGCGACCCGUUGGGCGUCGGCAUAAGGCCCGUACGGUAGCCUGUCUCGGUGCUUGCGCCGGGGCAGACCCUCGGUCGCCCGGCCGGCUGCCCGGCGGUACUCGCACGGUAUCGAGCCGCAUCGAACUUGCGUCCAGCCCGUCGCAAGCGCGGUCAGCGAUUCCCGGUGGUCGGACCUAGCGCCGUCCCCGGGCCUGGCCAGCUGCUGGCAGACGGUGCCCUCGGACCGGCUCGCUCGUAUUACCGGUCGGCGACGCUACUGCUUUGUGUACUUUCA
rnacentral:rRNA from 1 species